ACAAAGCUGCUAAGCAGCUCCUGAGGAGAGCCAUGUGGCUGAUGAAAGACCUUAUCCUCUUGAGAUUUUGCCACAGAGAAUUCUCAGGAAUAAGGAUGUUUCAUCCCUUCCCCAAGAAAUUUUGCUGGUUGCUUAAAGAGCCCACUGGUUAUGAGCUCCACGUCUUGCAGAGGCGAGCAGCUGUCUCUGGAUAUCCUGUUUCCAGCAUUAAAAGAGGAAAGCAGGGAGAAGAACUUUGCGUUAAUGGACCAGACCUGUGACCUCCUAAGGCAUGAGAAGUAAAUUAAAAAGUAGCUAAUGACUUCGUUAUCAUGUGUGUGAGCAGGUCAACAUGAAAAAUAGCAAGGAUGGUAAAAUAGAUGACAAGUCAUGAAUAUUGCCGUGCAUGAUGUUUCAGAAUUCGACCGAGUCCAGGGAAUUUAUUCAGAAGUAUGAUUCAUUUUCAGGU